rnacentral:rRNA from 1 species
CCUACGGGUGGCAGCAGUGGGGAAUAUUGCACAAUGGGGGGAACCCUGAUGCAGCAACGCCGCGUGGGUGAAGAAGUACUUCGGUAUGUAAAGCCCUGUCAGCAGGGAAGAAAAUGACGGUACCUGACCAAGAAGCUCCGGCUAACUACGUGCCAGCAGCCGCGGUAAUACGUAGGGGGCAAGCGUUAUCCGGAUUUACUGGGUGUUAAGGGAGCGUAGACGGCAAGUCAAGUCUGGGGUGAAAGCCCGUGGCUCAACCACGGGACUGCUUUGGAAACUGUGUUGCUGGAGUGCAGGAGGGGUUAGCGGAAUUCCUGGUGUAGCGGUGAAAUGCGUAGAUAUUAGGAGGAACACCGGUGGCGAAGGCGAGUUACUGGACUGUAACUGACGUUGAGGCUCGAAGGCGUGGGGAGCAAACAGGAUUAGAUACCCCUGUAGUC